UGCUAAAAUCCAGCUUCUUCCUCCAUCAUACCUGGUCCCUGCCUUUGACGUGUCACUUGACUGAGUGAAUACACGAGAGACCUUUUCUGCUGUGUCAUAAUCAUAGCGUAGGCUUUUUCUUUUUACAAUCCUUUUUCUUAUUAGAAAAGUAAUACAGGUUUACCAUACAGAAUUUUGAAUCCAUAGGUAAGCAAAAACAAAAGAGUUUAAAUAAACAGAUAACUAUCUAGCUGGAUGAUAGAUAGAUUGAGCCAUCCAUCAAUCUGCCUUUCUAGCAUGCACGGAUCUUCUCUUAAUUUUUCAGUGAGUCUCUGUAAUCAUUUUCCUAAGCCUUCGAGUACUGGGUUUUUUUCCCCCUUUACCCAGAUGUCACUAAAGUCUGUCUGUGUGACCCUGGACAUUUGUAACAUUUGCCUUUGUUGGGCAUAGGUCUUUGAGGGUCUCACACUGUCCUCUCUCCCUGGUGUGGUCAGGAGCAGGGACACUUCCAUUUCCUCCUCUCUCUGUAGGAGAACUCCCUGUAGUCCUCUGACCUGACCCUUCCCGCCCAUCCUCAGUGGAGUGUUGGGGUCCUGACAAAGAGGAAGCAGGCUGGACUGCAUUUUCAGGUAGACUCCUGAAAAAAUCAGUGUCACGUUUAAAAGGAAAUGGUAUAUAGCUUUUCCUGAGAGCUGGAGUUCCCACAGUUUGUUUCGUCACCUUGUGCUUGUUUUUGGUUUACUCCUUCCUGACCGUGGGUCUGGAGCACAGCCUACUCGCACACCUCUGAAUAGCUGGAAUGAAGACAAGCACGAGAUGAUUGAGACAAGAAAUCUGUCCUCAGAAUCCAGGGCCAAACACCAGCAAGCCACCAACAGAAGAUUUCCAGAAAGACUGAAAUUGCUCCCAGGGGAACCACUAAUGGGUCUGGAAGACAAAGAAGAGGCGUUAGUUCAGGAAGCCACUGUUCCAAUGGCUACUCCAAUACCUCGUUCAUCAAGCUGCUCCAUUGAUGAAGUGGCCCCCUGCAGUGUGGGAGACACUUCCUGUAAGGGAAGAUUCACAUCCCUGAGGGGUCCUCUGAGCCAAGGGUGGUGAUGAGGUGGCUGGGAGGGUGCUUAAAGGAGAAUGAAUACACCACACUAACAAGGAGAAGUGCUAAGCCUGCCUUCGUUGCAAGUUUGCACAAAAGCAUUCCUCGUCAACUGGGCUCCAGAUGUCUCUGAAUGAAGCUUUUGCCAACUGACAACUGGGUUUCUUAACUGUGUUCCAAUAAUCCACAUAUAUGUUUGUGAGUUGCCUGGAAAUUUACUGUUGUUCUAAAUUAAAUAGAGAACAAGAUUGUAUUAAUUAUACGCAACAAUCAACCAAGUCUAAGAGCUGAAGUCUUUAAGUUUGUUCUUUGAAGCAUAUUCCUGGUUUAUUAAAAGGAAAUGAAAGUAAGGAAAUGAUGAAACCACUCAGUGCUUGAAAACUCUGGAUCCCGGUUAGAACUGUCCUUUGAACGCUGUUAAAUUAGUCGUUACUGAGAGGCAGCUGUGCCCUCGAUAGUGACCGUAAGUAAACCUCUGAUUUGGGAGUCUUUUUUAACCCUGAUGUGGUUCUCAGAGUGUGUGAGAAAAUUCUGAGGAUUGACAUUUGGAAAGAAGGAAAGUGACACUCUGUAGCCUGAGUAAAUCACUUCCAAUGACCAGUGAGAAUUAGAGACAAGAGCUGUAACAAAAGGUACAAGGAACGAGAGGAUCCUAGGUGAAAAAGAAACAUAUAAUUCUAUCAAAAUGGUCUAGAGGGACGUGCUACAGAGGCCCAUUCACCGGGCAAUCACUUUUUGCAACAGAUCUGGGAGAGAGGAAUGGCAAAGCUUACAUGGACUGAAAUUCACCUCAGACCCCUCUUCAGCUCUUCUUUAUCUGUAUUUCCCUGAUAGUGUGCAAAAAGAGAUGCCGGAGUAUGAUUUUCCAUUCCCCAUUGUUGGUUAAAUCAGAGUGUCUCAUGUGGGGAGCACUAGCACUAAGCAUUUUUUGGUUGAGAAGAAAGGAGGCAAAGGUUAUCGAGGAAAAUCUCCAAAGAACAUGGAACUGGAAUUCAGGAAAUUAACUUGCUUUCUCCGUAACGAGCAGCCUUCCCUCUCACUCUGCGGCCAAAUCUGUCUCCUGCUUUCUCAACGUUGUCAGAUUCCCCAGUGAAAAAUGAGAAUCAUUCUUACCAUAUAUCUCAUCUUUUUGAGUCAAAUAAAG
rnacentral:lncRNA from 1 species